rnacentral:rRNA from 1 species
UACGUAGGGUGCAAGCGUUGUCCGGAAUUAUUGGGCGUAAAGAGCUCGUAGGCGGUCUGUCGCGUCUGCUGUGAAAACUCAGGGCUUAACCCUGAGCUUGCAGUGGGUACGGGCAGACUAGAGUGCGGUAGGGGAGACUGGAAUUCCUGGUGUAGCGGUGAAAUGCGCAGAUAUCAGGAGGAACACCGGUGGCGAAAGCGGGGCUCUGGGCCGUAACUGACGCUGAGGAGCGAAAGCAUGGGGAGCGAACAGG